rnacentral:lncRNA from 1 species
AUGAUUUAGAAACUAGAGAGUAUUAAAUUGAUGUAUUUUAUAAAGAGAAAUGCCUUGGGAACCCCACUUUGGGGCAUGGAUUACUGAGAAGAGAUGAGCUGUGAUGGUCCUGGAACGCAUGAUGAUCGAGUCAAUAGAUUUUUAGACCUGUAUUAGAUCUUACCUGAAACCCUAGUUAAUUAUUGAAAAUCCAAAUUAAACGGUUCGUUUACGAAUUUUUUCCAAAGAAAGAGAAUUAUUCGCAAAUUUUUGGGCCAACCGAAUUAUUCGCGAAUUAUUCACGAAUUAUUGAAAAUAUAAAUAAAAACUUAUAAUUUUUAUUUUUAAAUAUAAAUUAUCUUAUAUUUUAUAUCUUAUAUUUUAUACUUUAUACCGAAUUCGUUUCUUUAAGCCGAAUUUUUCAACGAAUUUAAAAAUUGGAAAACAAAUUUUAUGCGUAUUAUAUCCGUACCGAAUUUUUGCCGAAUCCGAAUUAACCAACUAUGCCUGAAACACGGCACCUGUCCUCCCGAGGAGAUCGAAGGUCCAUUUCAAAUUAAUGUAGGGCUGUCAAUGAGCUAAACACGAGCAAACUGAGCCCGACUGGCAUUCACUCGUUAAUUUAUAAAACGAGCCGAACAUGAACUGGCUCAUGAAAAAUUCAGCUGAAAAAUCAAGCCGAAUACGAGUUGUCUCGCGAAUUGCAAGUUAGAUUUUCAGCUCUACUAUUGGGUGAAAAGUUUAAAGAAUUUAAUCUAAUAAUUAAAAUUCACAAAUAUAUAUCUCAUUACAUUUAUGUUGGCCUAAAAUCUAAAUAGUAGAAAUUUUUAUUAUGUAUAUUCCAGCUAUAUCUAGCUGAGCAUGAGCAAGCUAACCUUAAUUCGUGCUCGACUUGUUAUGAUUUCGAGCUGAAAAAUUUAGCUCGGGUUUAGCUCGUUUACUAAAUGAGCGAUCGAUCUAGAACUUAAUUAUUUCAAGCCGAACGCAAGCUAGCUGGCGAACAAUGAGCUGAAUUUUCAGCCCUAAUUAAUUAUAGGAUAGUGAAAUAAAUUUUUUU